rnacentral:rRNA from 1 species
GUUGGCGGCGUGGAUUAGGCAUGCAAGUCGAGCGUGAAAGCGACCUUCGGGUCGUGAGCUAAAGACGGCGGACGGGCUGAGCUAACACGU